rnacentral:rRNA from 1 species
UAAAAAAAGGGACUCGGCAACCAAGAACCCCAACUGUUUAACAAAAACAUAACCUUUAGCCAAACAAAUAUUAAAGGCAACGCCUGCCCAGUGAACAAUUAAACGGCCGCGGUACCCUAACCGUGCAAAGGUAGCAUAAUCAUUUGUCUAUUAACUGUAGACCUGUAUGAAAGGCAAAAUGAGGGCUCAACUGUCUCUUAUAAUAAAUCUAUUAAACUGAUCUCCUAGUAAAAAAGCUAGAAUACCACCAUAAGACCAGAAGACCCUGUGAAGCUUAAACUAAAAUAUUAAACCCAAUAAUAACUACUUUCGGUUGGGGCGACCUUGGAAAUAAAAAGAACUUCCAAAAAACAUGUAAUACCACAUACAACCACAGGCCCACAAGCCAUUAAAUGACCCAGAUAGCUGAUAAUAACAAAUUCCAGAUGU